GGGAGCAUAGCUCAGUAGGAGAGCACAUGCUUGGCAUGCAUGAGGUCCUGGGUUCAAUCCCCAGUGCCUCUG
rfam:Camelus ferus unplaced genomic scaffold scaffold1408, whole genome shotgun sequence.